UACGAAGGGGGCGAGCGUUGUUCGGAAUUACUGGGCGUAAAGGGCGCGCAGGCGGCUCUGAAAGUCAGAUGUGAAAGCCCCGGGCUUAACCUGGGAAUUGCAUUUGAUACUCUGGAGCUUGAGUACGGGAGAGGAGAGUGGAAUUCCCAGUGUAGAGGUGAAAUUCGUAGAUAUUGGGAAGAACACCGGUGGCGAAGGCGGGUCUCUGGGCCGUUACUGACGCUGAGGAGCGAAAGCGUGGGGAGCGAACAGG
rnacentral:rRNA from 1 species